GUGCAGGCGGCGUGCUAUACAUGCAAGUCGAGCGAGUCCCUUCGGGGGCUAGCGGCGGACGGGUGAGUAACACGUAGGCAACCUGCCUCUCAGACUGGGAUAACAUAGGGAAACUUAUGCUAAUACCGGAUAGGUUUUUGGAUCGCAUGAUCUGAAAAGAAAAGAUGGCUUUUCGCUAUCACUGGGAGAUGGGCCUGCGGCGCAUUAGCUAGUUGGUGGGGUAACGGCCUACCAAGGCGACGAUGCGUAGCCGACCUGAGAGGGUGACCGGCCACACUGGGACUGAAACACGGCCCAAACUCCUACGGGAGGCAGCAGUAGGGAAUUUUCCACAAUGGACGAAAGUCUGAUGGAGCAACGCCGCGUGAACGAUGAAGGUCUUCGGAUUGUAAAGUUCUGUUGUCAGGGACAAACACGUACCGUUCGAACAGGGCGGUACCUUGACGGUACCUGACGAGAAAGCCACGGCUAACUACGUGCCAGCAGCCGCGGUAAUACGUAGGUGGCAAGCGUUGUCCGGAUUUAUUGGGCGUAAAGCGCGCGCAGGCGGCUAUGUAAGU
rnacentral:rRNA from 1 species